rnacentral:rRNA from 1 species
CGGCGAACGGUCGAGUAACACGUAAGCAACCUGCCCGGAAGCGGGGGACAAGCCGGAGAAAUCCGGGGUAAUACCGCAUAGCUUCACCGGAGGAGUGUCCGGUGAAGAAAGGAGCCCAGUCCCGAGAGGGCGGGCUUCACUUUCGGAGGGGCUUGCGGCCUAUCAGCUAGUUGGGGGGGUGACGGCCUCCCAAGGCGACGACGGGUACCUGGUCUGAGAGGACGGCCAGCCGGACUGGGACUGAGACACGGCCCAG